CCGCCCCUUAUAUAGCCUCCUGCGCCCCGCCCCCUCGCGGCGCGAAUCACUCCGCCGCGCACUAUUUCGCCGCUGUUCCGCCGGGCGGGCGCAGGGGAGCGAGGCCCGGCUCCGCGGAGGGAUCAGCGCUUCGAGAGAGCAUACUCCGUGUUGAAUUCCGUCAGCUCCUGUGCCGUCAUAGUCAAAACGUCCGGCGAUCCAAGGGCAGAGCUGAGGACAAGAUGAGGCUUUGUUUGCAGGACUCGCUGGCUGCCAUUUGGUUCAAUCCGCUUACAAAAUCCUUCGUUUCUGUGCAUCCAAAGAAAAACGCUGCCUACCCAGCUGACACGACACCCAGUGCACACCAGUGGGAAGGCAGCGGAGACCCAGCAACAGCUUCGUGAUUGGUGUGGGGGAAACCGGCCUGACACAGGGAGCUCCUACAGGAGGGGAAUGCUCCAGGGAUCUUCCCAGCCUCUCCUGCCUUGCAUUUAUAUUAAAACACAGCCUUGAAAUAAUACUCAUUUAAAAAAAAAAAAAAGGCAGCUCAGCCCCCCAGGUGGUUUAUCUGCAAAUAAAUAAAUCCACAAGUCUUUCGAUUUUUGCUCAGAAUGAGGUUGCUCACUGGUUUACAAUGUAUGCAUGUAUACAAUGUAAUUGUGGUUUACAAUGUAUGCAUGUAUAUAAACUAAAUAUUUGAAUAGACUUUUGGCUUUAAUAGGUCUUUCAUCUGAAAUUGAAAAACAAUGCUAAGCUUAUUCUUUUGUUAUGGGGUGUCUCUGGACUAGUCUACAAAUAGUUGAAAAGCCACAUGGCACUCUUUCAUGAGAAGAUAGUUUCAUAACAGCCACAAAUUAAGAUGUUACAGUGCUGAUCUUUAUCUAACGUGGCUAGGCAGCCAAGCACUGAGCGCUGUGGGUGAAUUUCAUAGAAUCAUAGAAUCACUCCGGUUGGAAAAACCCUCUAAGAUCAUCUAGUCCAACCUUUUACUUUGUACCUGAAUUAUGAACCUGACAACCAAAUUGUGGAGCAGCACAGUCCAAAAGCUUCAGAUUUGUGUUGUGUUCAGACUGCAAGGCAGAUGUUAGGCCCUAAUGCAACCCAGUCCUUAAAUAUGUCUUAAAUAUGCAGCUCACAGGAGAACAAUGCUUUCCCUUGCUGGGAGGAGCUUUCCACGAGCACAGCCACUGCAUGUUUCUCCUACACCAUCUUUGCAAGUAACCCCUUGCUAAGAUUUCAAGACAAGCUUGGUGAAUAGGAGGACAGCGUUCCUAGCAGACCAUGACAUAUUGUACUGACAAAUACUGAUUUCCUGUGCCUCAAACACUCACAUUUGUGCCUAUUGUUAUAAAUUCUUUGUGGCAGGAACAGUCACGUUCUGGUACCCCUGUGCAGCCCGUAUUCCAGAAGUAUAGCUGCUCAGAGAGAUCCUGUCCAGUGAGCUACUUACAGCAGGGACCUGCAGACAUACCAGCAGCAUAGCCUAACACCACUUAAUAAAUUGCUUUAACUACUCUGGCAGGAAAUGUCAUUUACAUGUGUCACCAGUCAGCAGUCUCCUACCA